rnacentral:rRNA from 1 species
UUUGAACGCUGGCGGCAGGCCUAACACAUGCAAGUCGGGCGAGAGGAGGACGGGUGAGUAAUGUAUGGGGAUCUGCCUGAUGGCGGGGGAAAAAGACUGGAAACGGUAGCUAAUAACGCUUACCAUCAGAUGAACCCAAAUGGGAGUAUCUAGUAGGUGAGUUAACGGCUCACCUAGGCGAACAUCCCUAGCUGGUCUGAGAGGAUGAUCAGCCACACUGGGACUGAGACACGGCCCAGACUCCUACGGGAGGCAGCGGUGGGGAAGAUUGCACAAUGGGCGCAAGCCUGAUGCAGCCAUGCCGCGUGUAUGAAGAAGGCCUUCGGGUUGUAAAGUACUUUCAGUCGGGAGGCGUUACCUACAGAAGAAGCACCGGCUAACUCCGUGCCAGCAGCCGCGGUAAUAC